UGCAUCACAAAGUAGCUCACGGGAACUAGGACUGGGCUGUGAGUAGGACCUUCAAAGCCUGCAGCCUUAGACCUCACGUGACGACACCAGGCAGACUGGCAGUGAGCUAGACGUUUAUGACUAUUUAGCAUGCUAUUUGGUCCAGUUGUUCUUUACCAUCCCCUCCCCAGCGCACACAACCAGAAGGGCAGAACAGGAGCCCGAGAACCUCCAGGUCUGGGCGCACGUGGAGGAGACGCGGAAGGAGAAACAGAGGAUGAGGCACGUCUGAUGUGCGAGGCUGGGCCCCAUCCCCACCGGCCCGGCCCUACAGGGUGUGGCCCCUCCAGGGAGGCCAGGAAGACUGUGGGAGACCAAGGGACCCCCGAGGACCGUGGCUGCCGCAGGUCAGCUGGGGACGG
ensembl:lncRNA